rnacentral:lncRNA from 1 species
CACGUAAAGGCCAAUCACACUACUAGGGCUUCAGCUUUUGCUCCCCGAGGUGCACACCUGUUGGGGAAUAUGUGUGUCAAAUGGCAGCAAACACACCUCGCAUCCGGCGCAGUAGUUUUUCAAGGACUCCUGACAGCUGGUUCAGCAGGCCCUCUGCAUGCAGUUGCGGCAUGUGGGACGCUGCCUCAGCAUGGUUUGAUGAGCAGUGCCAUGUCUGCACCCAGGAUUCGAACCAACGAAACACUGGGCUGCCUGCAGCGGAGCGCGCAAGCUUAACCACUCGGCCACGGGGCCAGCGCUGAUGAAAAUAUUUUUGAAGGCAUUGGAGACCUAGGACACUGAGGAUGUGAGGAACUGAGAUUCAGGAGGGAAGGUCCGGAGAGGUGAGCUUGACAUUUGGCACCACAUUUCACCUCAAGGCAUUUGCUGAUUCGUAAGUGGCAAACUGAGACUCUAAGAGGCUGAGUAGCAGAAGCCGUAGCUGAGAGGUUGAAAAGCCGAGCAGAGGUUUGGCAGGACCUGCCAAGGCCCCCUGCUGAGCUACACCGUAGGAUUAAUGUGAUAUGGAAAUAGACCAGCCCUCACAGAAACAGAAACACAGCUUCGAAUCAGAAUAAUCCGAGACUGGGUUGAAGUAAUCUGCUCUAACAGCCUUCCGGAAGAAAUGGUAUCUUCCUCUCUGGAUGAAGAUAACAUCAUUCAGAGCCUUAACUUAUCGCUAUGAUUUUUCAUGCAUGAAGACUAGGAUGCACUAGGAAGUUUAGCAGGUAUAUCAGGAAACAAGACCCAAUGAUGGAAAAUCAAGAGAAAAAAACCAAAGCAGCCAAUAGAAAACAGCCCCACAGGAGAUCCAGGUAUUGGAAUUAUCAGCAGACUUUCUGUAUGUUCAGGGCUGGGUAAUAGGACCUCAAAGAUGCCCAUGUCCUAAUCCUCAAAACCUACGAAUAUCUGACCUUCCAUGUUUAAAGGGCCUUUGACUAUGUGAUUAAAUUAAGCAUCUUGACAUGGGGAGAUUAUCCUGGACUGUCUGAGUGGGCCCAGUGUCAUUACAAGGGUUCUA